AAGUCGUAACAAGGUUUCCGUAGGUGAACCUGCGGAAGGAUCAUUACAAAUCGGUGGUGCGCCUUACAUUUGUGAUGGCGCAUUACACAUUGGCACGGGGCAUGCUUUGGUUUGGUUUGUCCGGUCUUUUGCUGUUUAUUACGACCUAAUGAAUGGUAAAGGGUCGGGCUGACAGGGCCGAAUCUUGUCCCAUGUUUACGCUUGCCUGUUUGACAGAGUUACAACAUGAAUCAACACAAAAAACAACUUUUAACAAUGGAUCUCUUGGCUCUUGCAUCGAUAAAGAACGCAGUCAAGUGCGAAAUGUAGUGCGAUUUGCAUAAAUUUGCGAGUCACUAAAUUUUUGAAUGCAACUUGCGCCUCUAUGAGGCAUGUCUGUUUGAGUGGCGUAAACAAUUCUGCAGUAAUGCGAUUUGACGUGUGUCGGUCAAUUUUGACUAGACUCUCUGUCUAAAAGCAGCCAGUCAAUGUAGUGAUUUCUACUAGUUCGAGUGCCAAGCAUUCUUGUUCUAGGUGGACUCAUUACAUGUGGCGAGUGGGUGUGAGUGAGGGCUGGCUAUACGCCGCCUCCACACGCGCCCACCCACCCACACUCUUUGACAACCGCCCUCAAAUCAGGCAUGAUCACCCACUGAACUUAA
rnacentral:rRNA from 1 species